rnacentral:rRNA from 1 species
UGGGGAAUAUUGCACAAUGGGCGAAAGCCUGAUGCAGCAACGCCGCGUGAGUGAUGAAGGCCUUCGGGUUGUAAAGCUCUGUCUUUGGGGACGAUAAUGACGGUACCCAAGGAGGAAGCCACGGCUAACUACGUGCCAGCAGCCGCGGUAAUACGUAGGUGGCAAGCGUUGUCCGGAUUUACUGGGCGUAAAGGAUGCGUAGGUGGAUAUUUAAGUCAGAUGUGAAAUACCCGAGCUUAACUUGGGUGCUGCAUUUGAAACUGGAUAUCUAGAGUGCAGGAGAGGUAAGUGGAAUUCCUAGUGUAGCGGUGAAAUGCGUAGAGAUUAGGAAGAACACCAGUGGCGAAGGCGACUUACUGGACUGUAACUGACACUGAGGCAUGAAAGCGUGGGGAGCAAACAGG